rnacentral:rRNA from 1 species
GUUCAAGCUACUAAGGGCUAUUGGUGGAUGCCUUGGCGCUGGAAGCCGAUGAAGGACGUGGAAGACUGCGAUAAGCUACGGUUAGUUGUCAAACAAACUUUGAACCGUAGAUUUCCGAAUGGGGAAACCCAAUUUAUUUAUAAAUUACUCCUAUCUGAA